GACGAACGCUGGCGGCGUGCUUAACACAUGCAAGUCGAACGGAAAGGCCCUGCUUUUGUUGGUUUCUCGAUUGGCGAACGGGUGAGUAACACGUGUGUAACCUGCCCUUGACUUUGUGAUAACUUCUGGAAACUGGGGCUAAUACCGGAUAUAAUCUCCUGCUGCGUGGUGGUGGUUGGAGAGUUUCGGCGUUUGUGGAUGGACUCGCUGCUUAUCAGCUUGUUUGUGGGGUAGUUGCUUACCAAGGCUUUGACGGGUAGCCGGCCUGAGAGGUUGAACGGCCACAUUGGGACUGAGAUACGGACCAGACUCCUACGGGAGGCAGUAGUGGGGAAUAUUGCACAAUGGGCGGAAGCCUGAUGCAGCAACGCCGCGUGCGGGAUGACGUCUUUCGGGUUGUAAACCGCUUUGGCCUGUGCCGAAGAGUGAGUGACGGUAAUGGGUAAAGAAGCACCGGCUAACUACGUG
rnacentral:rRNA from 1 species